rnacentral:rRNA from 1 species
UACUCGAGUGGCGAACGGGUGAGUAGCACGUGGGUGAUCUGCCCUGCACUUCGGGAUAAGCUUGGGAAACUGGGUCUAAUACCGGAUAGGAGCCAUCUUUAGUGUGGUGGUUGGAAAGUUUUUUCGGUGUAGGAUGAGCUCGCGGCCUAUCAGCUUGUUGGUGGGGUAAUGGCCUACCAAGGCGGCGACGGGUAGCCGGCCUGAGAGGGUGUACGGCCACAUUGGGACUGAGAUACGGCCCAG